CAACAGAAAAAUAAUAUCAAGUUAGCAUCAAUUGGAAAAGAAUACAAAGGCAAACAGAAACCAAGCAGAAAAGCGAAUAGCAGUACAUUAAUUUUUAAGACAAAGCAUGAAUUUUCACGAAUUUUCACUAAAAUGUUAAGGCAGUGCCUGUCCUCUUAGAAAGAAUUUUGGAACCCACUACCAAUUGCAUAAAUUUGACAGCAAGGACCAAUCGUUACCUCUGUGCUAACCCUAGAAAAUCACAGUAUAAAAAGGAUCUUUUUUUUGAAAUGAGGAGGCUGGAAAAAAAUUAUUCUCAACAAUCCAUUCAGUUCACACACAUAAAUAACCGAACUCAAAAUCAUCCAUUCAUUAUAAUCCAGCAAAGCAGAAGAAAGGCCACAAAGCAGAAGUGAAAGGGAGACCGAAAAUAGGAUAGUCAUAAGCAAUAAAAGGAAGUGUUUAUUGUUCCAGACGAUGAUAAGCUGACAAAGAAAUGAAUUUAAUAUGUUGGUAAGCAUUGCAAGGACUUUAAGACACAACUCACAAGAGAUUAUAUUUCACAUCCAAAGCUUAACUUAAAGCCUCCAUAUAAGAUGUAUAAAUUAUUCUGGGAAGGAUAUUUGGGAGAAGUUUGGCAAGUCUCACAACACUUCUAAAUUCAUGGUUGAGAGCCAAAGAGGAAAGGAGAAUAUGGCAAGAAAUAUGCAUCCACAUAGAUUGUCUCAUGAAGGAUAUGAUAAACUGGAACAUAUAAUGAUUAAUGAAAAAAGAAAACAAAGAGAACUAGAGUUGGGUGAUCCUCCUAAAAGUCUUGACUGUAAUCCAUCUCCACCAUCACAACAUGAGAAAUGUAAUAGAGCACGUCGAAGACCAGGAGGCGAGUUCACAUCAGACUGAUUAGAGGCUACACGUGAAGUUAUUGAAAAGAUUAAGCGAUUGGAAUAGAGGAGCAUGGUGGGCAUGUCUGUGAUCUUGGAAGAGGCGUUGACUUGAGGAUAUUUUUGGAUCAUCGCCAAAGAAUAACGAAGUAAUGCAUAAAAAAGAAAUUAAAGAGUUGGUUGAUCAAAGUGUGGAUGAGAGGAUAUAAUAAAAGUUAGAAAAGAGCGAGAAAUGGUGACUCAAAAGGUGCGGGAGAGUGUGGCUCAAGAGGAAUAUAAGAGGGUGACUCAGGAGGAGUGAGAAAGGUUACAUCUGGAGGAGCAGUAGAGGUUGAUCCAGCAGGAGGUGCGGGAUGGGGUGCAUUAGGAGGAGCGAGAAAGGUUAAUCUAGGAGGUGUGGGAGAAGGUGCAUCAUGAGGAGCGUGAGAGGUUGAUCCAAGAGGUGCCAGAAAGGUUGAUCAACGAGAAGCAAGAGAUGAUGCAUUAGGAGGAGCGAGAGAAAUUGACUGAGGAGGAGAGAGAUUGACCAAAGAGAUGUAGGAGAAGUGAACUUGUGACGUGAUUGAGGUAAGUAUAAGUUUGGUUUAAAAUAUUGUUGUGUAUUAUUGUUAUUUUGUAUAUUUAAAUUCAUGUAUUUUGUUGUUGUUGUUGUUUUUAUGAUGCAGUAAUUAAAACUAAUGGGUAUACUCAUUCACCCAAAUUUAAAUAAGUUAGACAUAAAUGAGAAAAUUGUUUGCGGUGGCACAAGCACGAAAGAUAGUUAUUCUGCCUCCAACACAAUAUUGACACCACAAUACUUCUACCAGAUAACAUGCUAAGACUAUCAAUGGUGGUAGAGAAGAUGUGAUACAUCUUACAUAUGAUAUUAGAACAUGAAUCAAGUCAAUCUUAUAUAAUUGAAAAAAGUUAUAUUUUGGAUAUUUUGCAAGGUACAAGUUGACUAGACAUAACCAUACUACACUUAUGGUGCACAUAACUACAUAUUUAUUGGUGAUUUCAAUUUAUAUUCAUUACUCUUAAAUACUUCUAAUGUCAAGAAUCACAUCAAAAUUUGACUUUGGUGUUAACAUUUAGGUAGAUGCGUCUGAUGUGUGCAAAAAGAGACUUAACAAAGUAUUUUCUUAGCCUCAUUCAAUAUUCAAUUUCAAUAACAUGCAAUAAUUACUGUCCAGGUGUACAUACAAAAUAAGUUAGUUCAGAAGAUAUGAUAAUGUUACCUAGGACCCUUUUCUAUUCGUAAGUAUAUAUGAGUUUGUGUUUUCUUUUAAAAAUCAAUUUUAUACACAUUAUUAACUAUUAUGUUUAUUUAUGCAAUAGGUAUUGACAACUAAUUAUUAUAUAUCCCAAGCAAAAUAGUGUAAAUCAGCUACGCUCGUUACACUAUAAUCUUAAUUCAACGAUGAAAGAUG